UACAGAGGUCCCGAGCGUUGUUCGGAUUCACUGGGCGUAAAGGGUGCGUAGGUGGUUGAGCAAGUCUGAUGUGAAAUCUCCGGGCUUAACCCGGAAAUGGCAUUGGAAACUGCAUAGCUAGAGGGUUGGAGGGGGGACUGGAAUACUUGGUGUAGCAGUGAAAUGCGUAGAUAUCAAGUGGAACACCAGUGGCGAAGGCGAGUCCCUGGACAACACCUGACACUGAGGCACGAAAGCUAGGGGAGCAAACAGG
rnacentral:rRNA from 1 species